rnacentral:misc_RNA from 1 species
GGUUCUCGGGACAGUGUCCCUUGGGAAGUUAUCUUGCACGCUGCCCGUCCCUGACGGAAGCACGCCUGAUGGCGGUUCGCUGGACGGCGCCGCUGCGGGCGGCCUGGACGAAUACAGCACGUCGUCACGGCGCCCGUCGUCGAUAUAGAUCCGGGUGACGUUUUCUGCGGACGCGUCGUGCUGUGCGGGUUCAUCGCGCGGCGCGUCGUCGUGCGCGGCCGGCUCGGGUUCGUCGC